rnacentral:rRNA from 1 species
GCAUAUCAAUAAGCGGAGGAAAAGAAACCAACAGGGAUUACCUCAGUAACGGCGAGUGAAGCGGUAACAGCUCAAAUUUGAAAUCUGGGUCUUUCAGGCUCCGAGUUGUAAUUUGUAGAAGAUGCUUCGGGUGCGGCACCGGUCUAAGUUCCUUGGAACAGGACGUCAUAGAGGGUGAGAAUCCCGUAUGUGACUGGCGGCUUGCGCCCAUGUGAAGCUCUUUCGACGAGUCGAGUUGUUUGGGAAUGCAGCUCAAAAUGGGUGGUAAAUUUCAUCUAAAGCUAAAUAUUGGCCAGAGACCGAUAGCGCACAAGUAGAGUGAUCGAAAGAUGAAAAGCACUUUGGAAAGAGAGUUAAACAGUACGUGAAAUUGUUGAAAGGGAAGCGCUUGCGACCAGACUUGCGCGUCGUUGAUCAUCCGGGGUUCUCCCCGGUGCACUCGACUUCGCUCAGGCCAGCAUCGGUUUCGGUGGUUGGAUAAAGGCCUUGGGAAUGUAGCUUCCUUCGGGGAGUGUUAUAGCCCUCGGUGCAAUGCAGCCUACCGGGACCGAGGACCGCGCUCCGGCUAGGAUGCUGGCGUAAUGGUCGUAAGCGACCCGUCUUGAAACACGGACCAAGGAGUCUAACAUCUAUGCGAGUGUUUGGGUGUCAAACCCAUCCGCGUAAUGAAAGUGAACGGAGGUGAGAACCCUUAAGGGUGCAUCACCGACCGGUCCUGAUGUCUUCGGAUGGAUCUGAGUAAGAGCAUAGCUGUUGGGACCCGAAAGAUGGUGAACUAUGCCUGAAUAGGGUGAAGCCAGAGGAAACUCUGGUGGAGGCUCGCAGCGGUUCUGACGUGCAAAUCGAUCGUCAAAUUUGGGUAUAGGGGCGAAAGACUAAUCGAACCAUCUAGUAGCUGGUUCCUGC